rnacentral:rRNA from 1 species
UACGUAGGGGGCUAGCGUUGUCCGGAAUCAUUGGGCGUAAAGAGCGUGUAGGCGGCCCGGUAAGUCCGCUGUGAAAGUCGGGGGCUCAACCCUCGAAUGCCGGUGGAUACUGUCGAGCUAGAGUGCGGAAGAGGCGAGUGGAAUUCCUGGUGUAGCGGUGAAAUGCGCAGAUAUCAGGAGGAACACCAAUUGCGAAGGCAGCUCGCUGGGACGUUACUGACGCUGGAGACGCGAAAGCGUGGGGAGCAAACAGG